GCAGGCCUAAACCAUGCAGUCGGCGGAACAGUAUCGAGCCGUCCGGAACGAUAUCGGCGUCAGUCGCGACCGGGUGAGGUAUGCUUAGACUUGACUGAUGUCUUGGGGGAUUAGGGCAUCGAAUCGAGGGCUAAUGCUGCAUGAUGCUACGGUCCCAAAGACGAGAGCGUCGGGCUCUUGCGUCAGGGAUAUGCCUCAGGUGGGAUUAGCUAGUUGGUGAGGGUAAGGGCUCCACCAAGGCGGACGAUCCCUAAGCUGGUCUUGAGAGGAUGAUCAGCCACCACUGGAAACUGAGGACACCGGUCCCAGACUCCUACGGGAGGCAGCAGUGGGGGAAUAUUGCACAAUGGGCGCAAGCCUGAUGCAGGCCAUGCCGCGUGUGUGAAGAAGGCCUUCGGGUUGUAAAGCACUUUCAGUCGUGAGGAAGGUAGUGUAGUUUAUAGCUGCAUUAUUUGACGUUAGCGACAGAAGAAGCACCGGCUAACUCCGUGCCAGCAGCCGCGGUAAUACGGAGGGUGCGAGCGUUAAUCGGAAUUACUGGGCGUAAAGCGCAUGCAGGUGGUUUGUUAAGUCAGAUGUGAAAGCCCGGGGCUCAACCUCGGAAUUGCAUUUGAAACUGGCAGACUAGAGUACUGUAGAGGGGGGUAGAAUUUCAGGUGUAGCGGUGAAAUGCGUAGAGAUCUGAAGGAAUACCGGUGGCGAAGGCGGCCCCCCUGGACAGAUACUGACACUCAGAUGCGAAAGCGUGGGGAGCAAACAGGAUUAGAUACCCUGGUAGUCCACGCCGUAAACGAUGUCUACUUGGAGGUUGUGGCCUUGAGCCGUGGCUUUCGGAGCUAACGCGUUAAGUAGACCGCCUGGGGAGUACGGUCGCAAGAUUAAAACUCAAAUGAAUUGACGGGGGCCCGCACAAGCGGUGGAGCAUGUGGUUUAAUUCGAUGCAACGCGAAGAACCUUACCUACUCUUGACAUCCAGAGAACUUUCCAGAGAUGGAUUGGUGCCUUCGGGAACUUUGAGACAGGUGCUGCAUGGCUGUCGUCAGCUCGUGUUGUGAAAUGUUGGGUUAAGUCCCGCAACGAGCGCAACCCUUAUCCUUGUUUGCCAGCGAGUAAUGUCGGGAACUCCAGGGAGACUGCCGGUGAUAAACCGGAGGAAGGUGGGGACGACGUCAAGUCAUCAUGGCCCUUACGAGUAGGGCUACACACGUGCUACAAUGGCGCAUACAGAGGGCAGCCAACUUGCGAAUAGUGAGCGAAUCCCAAAAAGCGCGUCGUAGUCCGGAUGAGUCUUUCACUG
rnacentral:rRNA from 1 species